rnacentral:tRNA from 1 species
CGCGGGAUGGAGCAGUCUGGUAGCUCGUCAGAAGGUCGUCGGUUCAAAUCCGGCUCCCGCAACCA